rnacentral:lncRNA from 1 species
UGCCGGGAAGACCCAAGGGUCAGCGGUGGAAGCCAGAAAGUCUGUGCCAGCAGGAUGAAGGAGCUGUGCUGGUGGGAUGAGGGUUCUACGCUGGAGCCGAGAAGUCACACUCACAACAAAGACCAGGACUGUCCUGAAAGGCACCACAGCUGUCCUCAGCGACACGGAGGCCCCAAACUCCUCCCACGACAAGCACAGUCAGCCUAAGCACAGGAUUUCAACCUGCGAUAAGGAUUAAAGAAGCAAUAAAACCGAUCACACAGCACGUGGCGGUCAUGUCCCUCCUUUCCUCACGUGGCUUUUCUCAUAUGAGUGAAGCCUGUGUGACUUGAGGGACCGAUACUGAACUGUGUCCUCCACUCCAGAUCUAAAGUCAUUGCUAGUGUUUGGGCAUCCCUGAGAAUUCACAUGCUGCCAGUAUGAUCUCCAAAAUGACAACAGUAGUGCCUCAAGGUAUGACCUUUGAAAGGUGG